GCUUAUACAAAUGAACACCAUAGACAUUGAAAGAAAGAAGAGUAGCUCACUAACCUUUGCUUUUCAUGGAGAAUGCUCCUACAACGUGUUUGCUUUUGAUUUCUACUAUGACCUGCAAAAGAGAAACCGAGCAAAAUUCAACUCUAGAAUUCAACCAGCAUAUAACUUUGUUAGCUUCAAUGAGUAUUCGAUGUUUAACCUGAGAUUUUUUGUUGAUGUACACUUUUACAUGCUUCCACCGCAGAACACCUGGAAAGUCCAUGAGUCAAUUCAUCAAUCUCGUGAUAUGAGUUCAUCGGUCGUGCUAGUGCGAUCGAGCUCAGAAGAGCAACUAUGAGUCUCUGGUAAAACUCUCUCACAGGGGCUUAUAGCUGCACUGUUCUUAGCUUCCUUUGGUAGUCUUACCCUCAAAGCUGCUUCUCCUCUCAAUGCUACAUUAUCGAAAAACCGAGAAUCAUAAUCGAAUGAUCAACUCAAAACUACAAUGGACUAGUCAAAUUCAAUAGAGCGAAACAAUCAAGGAUUGAGAAUUGAAGUCAAACAAUCAAUGUACCUGUUGCAGCUGCAGCAGUUAGAGUCAACAAAUCGCCAGGUCCACGAACAUCAACAGCUGAUCGGACAGCAGAGACGACGCGAUCGUGAUCGGCGCCGGCAAGCUCCGCCAAUUCGAGGCAGUGAGAAGCUAACAACUCCGACGCCGAGGCAAGGGCUGAGCUCAUCUUUGAUCCAGCGAAGCCGUCUUGAUUGCCUGAAGCGGUCACUGCGGCGAUUGCCGUCGCCAGAGACGCAAUGGACACGGCGGAAUGCAGAUGAGCUUUCUCCACGCGAACUCUAUCUCUCUUCUUUACGGCGGAGACCUUCCCGCCGACGAAUUCUCGGUGGUGGAACCAUUUUCCGAUCGUUCCCGUUCUCCGCGCGUGAACCGCACUCGCUAGCUUUCCCGU